UACGUAGGGUGCGAGCGUUAAUCGGAAUUACUGGGCGUAAAGCGUGCGCAGGCGGUUUUGUAAGCCGGAUGUGAAAUCCCCGGGCUUAACCUGGGAAUGGCAUUCGGGACUGCAAGGCUGGAGUGCGGCAGAGGAGACUGGAAUUCCUGGUGUAGCAGUGAAAUGCGUAGAUAUCAGGAGGAACACCGAUUGCGAAGGCAGCUCGCUGGAACGUUACUGACGCUGAGACGCGAAAGCGUGGGGAGCAAACAGG
rnacentral:rRNA from 1 species